UACGUAGGGUGCGAGCGUUAAUCGGAAUUACUGGGCGUAAAGCGUGCGCAGGCGGUUUUGUAAGCCAGAUGUGAAAUCCCCGGGCUUAACCUGGGAAUGGCAUUUGGGACUGCAAGGCUAGAGUGUGGCAGAGGAGACUGGAAUUCCUGGUGUAGCAGUGAAAUGCGUAGAGAUGUGGAGGAAUACCGAUGGCGAAGGCAGCCCCCUGGGCCAAUACUGACGCUCAUGCACGAAAGCGUGGGGAGCAAACAGG
rnacentral:rRNA from 1 species